rnacentral:lncRNA from 1 species
CAGGUGAAUAUGUUCAAUGCAUUCAUUUUGUGAGAGACCGUCUCUCCCCCAGAACAUUUUUCUCUCGUGGUAAUUCCUGAAAGCUGGAGACUUCACAAGAGGUAGAUUUUCUUAGUAGACUAAUCAUAGCCUGGAAAGGAAUAGGCUAAUGUUUUCACCAUGCUUUGUCUGCCCCGCACACUAAUUUCAGCAAGAAAUUCACACCUCUUUCCCCAGACAUUUCCUACCUUUCUUCCUUUCUUCCCAUUUCUUAUGGAGGUAAUAAUGUAGCAAUCGAAGAUAAAAAGAUAAAAACAAUUUUAAAAACCAUGACAGCUUUGCCCAGAAAACUAUAUUCUGAUGGUAUGGUCAGAGACUAGAAAUUAUGAGAAGCCUGUGAGGUAGAGUUAGAUUUGAAAUAUGAAGGCAAGACCAUCAGCAAAAGUUGUCUGUAGUUUUGAAGGGAUCCAGCCAUGGUGUCAUGUAUGGCCCAAAGAGGGCCUAGAAAAGAUAUCUCACCUCUCUCCUCACCCUCCAAUCUCCCCUGGUACCACUUUUUAGCAAAUAUUGGAAGCCAAUUAACUGGCAAGGGAACUCUAGUGAUGUGGUCUACAAGGAUGAAUCAUUGCAGAGAAGGUGAAACAUGGACGAAGGAGUGAGGAGAAAUGGAGAAAACAUUAAACACUGUAAAAGAGGUAUUAUUUCUUCUAUUUAAACAGAUGAGAAAACAGAGGCUAUCCCCGUAACACAAGCAAAAUUGCAGAGACCGAAUUCCAACCUAGGACAAAUUAUUCCAGAGUCAUUGCUUUUAAUCACUACUGUAUUUGCCUCUAGGCAUCCUGACUUCUGGAAAAUUUGAAUCUUCAUAAAUUGCAUAAAUUAUAUUUUAUGUUCCCAGAAGCACCUACAAGUUAGAUUCUCAGUAAAUAUUAGGUGAUAAAGUGGCAAUACCCUAACGACAGACCUGGGAAUUCAAUCAUAGAAAGUUGCUUGAUGGCCAAUUCAUUUCAAAGGGGAGUAUGCAUCAUGUGUGGGGGCUGCCAGCCCUAACAAAAGACAGUCCUUGCCAUUCCGGCCUUAUUGAAAUGCUUGGCAUGAAAUGACAGUGGAGAGUAUCCUACCCCCUACCAAUUCUUUGUGCUUCCGGGCUGUGUACUCCUUGGCAGGGGUACAUGAAAACUCCCCAGGGGAUACAUAUCAUGGUGAUUUUAAGCAGAUUCUUUUCCAGAUUCUCAACUUCCAUAGGCAUUGUUUCUAAAAUAAAUUUGCCUAAUAACGUAUCUACAGGCUGCUAGUUCUCCUUUUCCCACCUCCCAUCUCAUAAUGACCCUUCUCCCACUUUCCAAAAGAAAAGCAUAUCUCUCAUUCAAUCUGAAACUGACACAGUGACUUGUCCCAUUGUUUACAAACCUCAGAGCCACUAAACAAAGGGACAAUUGGAGACUACAUUGCUCUUAAGGACCAGUACUUUAAGGACACAUUAAGAAACAUUAAAGGGCUGGCCAACUCAUGGCAAGGAUCCCUGCUUUAGCUAGCUGGCUUACUAGUUUUCGAAGUAUCUAAUUAGUUAUUCAUCCUAGAAUUGGAGUUCCAAAAUGAGAUGAUUGUCAGCAGGGUGCAUGUUGAUGUAUUUAUUUAAAUUACAAAAUAAAGUCAGACUUUUUCUGACAGAAAACAAGUCUUAUUUGGCUGAAUGAUCUGACAAUAAGAACUGGCUUUGUUAAUUAGGUGAUGUGGUGACAUGUAUCAUAAGCGGAAUGAGCUAAAUUCACAGUUUUGAAAAACAUGUAUUUAAAACCCUUAUGCAAUAGACAAUAUGCUGGAAACUACAUCUUUUGUAACUAAUUAAAUUUAUGGCAUGUCAUCUUUAAAAUGUGGGGGUACACACCCUUUUAAAAAAUUCUUUUAGCAAGUACAUGAGCAAAACAGUUGGAGGAUGCUAUUCUAGACCCUGUAGUAGAACAAAUUUUAGCUCUGGAAGGGAUGUGUUAUUUGGUACAAUUUCUUUAUAGAUAAGCAAACAAACAGAGAGAAAUUAAAUGACCUGCAACCAAUGUGUGAGAGACCUAGGAUCAGAACGCGAGGAGCCUGGUCCCUGAGGAAUGUUCCCAUUUGAUGCGCUCCUCUCCUGGAUUUCUGCCCUCUUUUCCACUCCCUCAACCUCACUCAAAAGCUCCUAAUGCCAAAAGUAGAUACUGGCUAAAUAAAUGAACAGCUCUCUUCAGAAUAGAAGUGCAAAAGUAGGCAGAAGCUGCUCGGUUGCUUAUCCUUCAUGGACUCUAGCUGUGACACCAAUGCAAAGAAGUGGGAUGAAAUCUGAGGAGUCUGAAGGAUUAACAUUAGUCACAAGGAUAUCCUGAUUGGCCACAGGUUACCUCACGUCCUGGUCCAGCCAUUGAACUGGAAGAUAAAUUUCACCCAAGCCUCAUACAGUGAUCACAUCUGUCUCCUGAAAUGUAUGUUCCUUGAGCUUAGCCAGCUCCCUUUACUGCCAGACUUCAGCCUGACAUCUGGUGGCUUCCCAACGUGCUUCCCUUUCCUACUUAAUUAGCACAAUGCUCUGGGGGAUUCCACAGGCCCCUCACAGAUGUCCAGUACCCCAUGUCUCCGAAAACCAUUAGAU